CAAAAACAUGUCCUGGAGGAACAGAAUCCUAGGUCAAGCCUGCCCUCUGUAAUGUAAAAUCAAUGGUCGCAGGUUCAACUGUGCUAAGGUAGCAUAAUUAAUUGCCCUUUAAUUGGGGGAUGGAAUGAAGGGUUUAACGAGGGUUAAACUGUCUCUCUGGUGGUAAUCCGAAAUUUAGCUUUGGAUUAAAACGUCUAGCUUAGAAGGAGGGACGAUAAGACCCUAAGAUCUUUGCCCCUACGUCUUAAAACUAGGGUGUUGGGGUUUACUUGGGAAGAGGAGUGUACAGAAACUACUUUGAAUUCAAAGAAAGAACAAUUCGAAUUGUGAAACCUUGAGGUAGAUAAAGGAUAAAGUUACCUUAGGGAUAACAGGGAUAUUCUUUCUUGGGAGAUCGAAUUUCUAGAAAGGCUUUCCACCUCGAUGUUGAAUUAAAGUACCAUCUUGGAGCAGAGACUAAGGUAGUUGGAUUGUUCAUCCAUUUAAACUUUACGUGAUCUGA
rnacentral:rRNA from 1 species